rnacentral:rRNA from 1 species
CGGUGACAGGUGGUGCAUGGUUGUCGUCAGCUCGUGUCGUGAGAUGUUGGUUAAGUCCCGCAACGAGCGCAACCCCUAUUGUUAGUUGCCAUCAUUCAGUUGGGCACUCUAGCGAGACUGCCGGUAAUAAACCGGAGGAAGGUGGGGAUGACGUCAAAUCAUCAUGCCCCUUAUGACCUGGGCUACACACGUGCUACAAUGGUUGGUACAACGAGUUGCGAGUCGGUGACGGCGAGCUAAUCUCUUAAAGCCAAUCUCAGUUCGGAUUGUAGGCUGCAACUCGCCUACAUGAAGUCGGAAUCGCUAGUAAUCGCGGAUCAGCACGCCGCGGUGAAUACGUUCCCGGGCCUU